GUCCACGCCCUAACGAUGUCAACUGGUUGUUGGGUCUUAACUGACUCAGUAACGAAGCUAACGCGUGAAGUUGACCGCCUGGGAGUACGGCCGCAAGGUUGAAACUCAAAGGAAUUGACGGGACCCGCACAAGCGGUGGAUGAUGUGGUUUAAUUCGAUGCAACGCGAAACCUUACCACCUUUGACAUGUACGGAAUCCUUUAGAGAUAGAGGAGUGCUCGAAAGAGAGCCGUAACACAGGUGCUGCAUGGCUGUCGU
rnacentral:rRNA from 1 species